rnacentral:rRNA from 1 species
GGUGCAUGGUUGUCGUCAGCUCGUGUCGUGAGAUGUUGGGUUAAGUCCCGCAACGAGCGCAACCCUUGUCUUUAGUUACCAUCAUUCAGUUGGGGACUCUAGAGAGACUGCCGGUGAUAAACCGGAGGAAGGUGGGGAUGACGUCAAAUCAUCAUGCCCCUUAUGGCCUGGGCUACAAACGUAAUACAAUGGCGUAUACAAAGGGAUGCGAAAGGGCGACCUGGAGCAAAACUCACAAAGUACGUCUCAGUUCAGAUUGUAGGCUGCAACUCGCCUGCAUGAAGUUGGAAUCGCUAGUAAUCGCAGAUCAGCACGCUGCGGUGAAUAAGUUCUCGGGUUUU